rnacentral:rRNA from 1 species
UACGAAGGGGGCUAGCGUUGCUCGGAAUCACUGGGCGUAAAGCGCACGUAGGCGGCUUUCUAAGUCAGGGGUGAAAUCCUGGAGCUCAACUCCAGAACUGCCUUUGAUACUGGGAAGCUUGAGUCCGGAAGAGGUGAGUGGAACUGCGAGUGUAGAGGUGAAAUUCGUAGAUAUUCGCAAGAACACCAGUGGCGAAGGCGGCUCACUGGUCCGGUACUGACGCUGAGACGCGAAAGCGUGGGGAGCAAACAGG